UCCGGUUUGUCACCGGCAGUCUCAUUAGAGUGCUCAACUAAAUGUGGCAACUAAUGGCAAGGGUUGCGCUCGUUGCGGGACUUAACCCAACAUCUCACGACACGAGCUGACGACAGCCAUGCAGCACCUGUGUUACGGCUCCCUUUCGGGCACCCUCACAUCUCUGUGAGGUUCCGUACAUGUCAAGGGUAGGUAAGGUUUUUCGCGUUGCGUCGAAUUAAACCACACGCUCCGCUGCUUGUGCGGGCCCCCGCCUAUUCCUUUGAGUUUUAGCCUUGCGGCCGUACUCCCCAGGCGGGGCGCUUAAUGCGUUAGCUGCGGCACCCGGGGACUUUAUAACCCCAGACACCAAGCAUUCAUCGUUUAAGGCCAGGACUAC
rnacentral:misc_RNA from 1 species